GGGUUGUGAGGUUAAGCGACUAAGCGUACACGGUGGAUGCCCUGGCAGUCAGAGGCGAUGAAGGACGUGCUAAUCUGCGAUAAGCGUCGGUGAGGUGAUAUGAACCGUUAUAACCGGCGAUUUCCGAAUGGGGAAACCCAGUGUGUUUCGACACACUAUCAUUAACUGAAUCCAUAGGUUAAUGAGGCGAACCGGGGGAACUGAAACAUCUAAGUACCCCGAGGAAAAGAAAUCAACCGAGAUUCCCCCAGUAGCGGCGAGCGAACGGGGAGGAGCCCAGAGCCUGAAUCAGUGUGUGUGUUAGUGGAAGCGUCUGGAAAGGCGCGCGAUACAGGGUGACAGCCCCGUACACAAAAAUGCACAUGCUGUGAGCUCGAUGAGUAGGGCGGGACACGUGGUAUCCUGUCUGAAUAUGGGGGGACCAUCCUCCAAGGCUAAAUACUCCUGACUGACCGAUAGUGAACCAGUACCGUGAGGGAAAGGCGAAAAGAACCCCGGCGAGGGGAGUGAAAAAGAACCUGAAACCGUGUACGUACAAGCAGUGGGAGCCUCUUAAUGGGGUGACUGCGUACCUUUUGUAUAAUGGGUCAGCGACUUAUAUUCUGUAGCAAGGUUAACCGAAUAGGGGAGCCGAAGGGAAACCGAGUCUUAACUGGGCGUUAAGUUGCAGGGUAUAGACCCGAAACCCGGUGAUCUAGCCAUGGGCAGGUUGAAGGUUGGGUAACACUAACUGGAGGACCGAACCGACUAAUGUUGAAAAAUUAGCGGAUGACUUGUGGCUGGGGGUGAAAGGCCAAUCAAACCGGGAGAUAGCUGGUUCUCCCCGAAAGCUAUUUAGGUAGCGCCUCGUGAAUUCAUCUCCGGGGGUAGAGCACUGUUUCGGCAAGGGGGUCAUCCCGACUUACCAACCCGAUGCAAACUGCGAAUACCGGAGAAUGUUAUCACGGGAGACACACGGCGGGUGCUAACGUCCGUCGUGAAGAGGGAAACAACCCAGACCGCCAGCUAAGGUCCCAAAGUCAUGGUUAAGUGGGAAACGAUGUGGGAAGGCCCAGACAGCCAGGAUGUUGGCUUAGAAGCAGCCAUCAUUUAAAGAAAGCGUAAUAGCUCACUGGUCGAGUCGGCCUGCGCGGAAGAUGUAACGGGGCUAAACCAUGCACCGAAGCUGCGGCAGCGACACUAUGUGUUGUUGGGUAGGGGAGCGUUCUGUAAGCCUGUGAAGGUGGCCUGUGAGGGUUGCUGGAGGUAUCAGAAGUGCGAAUGCUGACAUAAGUAACGAUAAAGCGGGUGAAAAGCCCGCUCGCCGGAAGACCAAGGGUUCCUGUCCAACGUUAAUCGGGGCAGGGUGAGUCGACCCCUAAGGCGAGGCCGAAAGGCGUAGUCGAUGGGAAACAGGUUAAUAUUCCUGUACUUGGUGUUACUGCGAAGGGGGGACGGAGAAGGCUAUGUUGGCCGGGCGACGGUUGUCCCGGUUUAAGCGUGUAGGCUGGUUUUCCAGGCAAAUCCGGAAAACCAAGGCUGAGGCGUGAUGACGAGGCACUACGGUGCUGAAGUGACAAAUGCCCUGCUUCCAGGAAAAGCCUCUAAGCAUCAGGUAACAUCAAAUCGUACCCCAAACCGACACAGGUGGUCAGGUAGAGAAUACCAAGGCGCUUGAGAGAACUCGGGUGAAGGAACUAGGCAAAAUGGUGCCGUAACUUCGGGAGAAGGCACGCUGAUAUGUAGGUGAAGCGACUUGCUCGUGGAGCUGAAAUCAGUCGAAGAUACCAGCUGGCUGCAACUGUUUAUUAAAAACACAGCACUGUGCAAACACGAAAGUGGACGUAUACGGUGUGACGCCUGCCCGGUGCCGGAAGGUUAAUUGAUGGGGUUAGCGGUAACGCGAAGCUCUUGAUCGAAGCCCCGGUAAACGGCGGCCGUAACUAUAACGGUCCUAAGGUAGCGAAAUUCCUUGUCGGGUAAGUUCCGACCUGCACGAAUGGCGUAAUGAUGGCCAGGCUGUCUCCACCCGAGACUCAGUGAAAUUGAACUCGCUGUGAAGAUGCAGUGUACCCGCGGCAAGACGGAAAGACCCCGUGAACCUUUACUAUAGCUUGACACUGAACAUUGAGCCUUGAUGUGUAGGAUAGGUGGGAGGCUUUGAAGUGUGGACGCCAGUCUGCAUGGAGCCGACCUUGAAAUACCACCCUUUAAUGU
rnacentral:rRNA from 1 species